UACAGAGGGUGCGAGCGUUGUCCGGAAUCACUGGGCGUAAAGGGCGCGUAGGCGGCUCGGUAAGGUUGCGGUGAAAGCCCGGGGCUCAACCCCGGGUCGGCCGUGGCAACUGCUGAGCUAGAGCACUGUAGAGGCAGGUGGAAUUCCGGGUGUAGCGGUGGAAUGCGUAGAGAUCCGGAAGAACACCGGUGGCGAAGGCGGCUCACUGGCCCGGUACUGACGCUGAGGCACG
rnacentral:rRNA from 1 species